CCUACGGGUGGCAGCAGUGAGGAAUAUUGGUCAAUGAGCGCGAGCCUGAACCAGCGAAGUAGCGUGAAGGAUGACUGCCCUACGGGUUGUAAACUUCUUUUAUAAAGGAAUACAGUGAGGCACGUGUGCCAUUUUGUAUGUACUUUAUGAAUAAGGAUCGGCUAACUCCGUGCCAGCAGCCGGGGUAAUACGGAGGGUACGAGCGUUAAUCGGAAUUGCUGGGGGGAAAGCGGUUGUAGGCGGUAUGGCAAGUCAAGGGUGAAAUCCCCGCGCGCAACGUGGGAACCGCCUUUGAAACUGGCAAACUGGAGUGUGUGAGAGGAUAGUGGAAUUCCAGGUGUAGGAGUGAAAUCCGUAGAUAUCUGGAGGAACAUCAGUGGCGAAGGCGACUAUCUGGCACAUAACUGACGCUGAGGAGCGAAAGCGUGGGUAGCAAACAGGAUUAGAUACCCUUGUAGUC
rnacentral:rRNA from 1 species